CUUCUGAUGAGUCCUCACCAAAAAAUAGACCUUUGGAAACAUGUGAAAUUAUGUUAUCAGAAACUGCAAAACUAGAAGUAACCCAAUGUUCUCUGGAAAAAACAACUUUCACUGGCAAUUUAACCCAUUCAAUAAGUUCUGGAAGUGGAGUGUCUGAUAGCAUUGUGGAAGAUGUUAAAAAGGUCCAGCUUCAAGUCACCCAGGAUAUUUCUAUGAGCAGUACUUUCGAAAGCAGCAAAUCGUCAUCAGAAAAUAGUACACAAAAGAUGGAAAAGACUCAACAAGCUGCUGAAAGUCAUCCAGUGAACAUUACAUGUGAUUUAAUUACAUCUAAUACGUCAGUUCAGUGUGAAGGAUGGCAAUCUUCAGGUUGUAACUCUAAAAAUGUCACUUCUGAGCUUCAAAUUGAACUUGUCAAAGCCUUACCUAGAGAGGAGCAAAGUUGUAUUUCUGACUACACUGAGAGAAAAAAUCAAAACAAAAAUGUAUCCCUAAACGGCACAUUUACUACUGUUCAGGGCCCAACUGAUGCUGCAACGCAUGACCUACAGAACAGAACACUGGAUCUUCCAACAAAUAGUUGUAGUCCACUCAUGGCAGAAAAUGAAAAUGCUAAUAUGAGCACAAAGCAGGUGAGCCCGGAAUCUUCCCUAAUUUUGAAUGACGAUUGCACAGGUUCAAAAUUGAGCCAAAGUUGUGCAAUGCAAAAUCAGACAUUUGAAAAGGACUCUCUUCACAAAUCUGGUGGAAGUACAAUUUCAGAACAAGCUGGUGUCACAGUUGCAAGUCUUCAGAGCACAUUUGAAAACCAACCAAAUGGGACAAGUACUUACACAGAAAUAACAACGAUGGGUGACAAGCAGCAUGUCACAUCAGAAAAGUCCUCUCCUUCCCCAGUCAAAAAUGUGAACACUACUGAGCCCAAUCCUCCAAAGACGUGUGAAAAUAUACAAGCGACCAUGGAUUCUAAUGGCAAAUUAACUGAGCCUCAACAGAGCACUUUUAAUGUCAACACACCAAUAAAAGAAGACUGUGGUUCUCCGGGAUUCAGUGCUGGCAGUAGGGAAGCAAAGGAACAGCCUCUGUGUGAUUCAAUCAUUCAUCACAACACAUUCACUGAGAGCAACAAAGCUAACACUUUCAGUUUGGAUAGCACAAUUGAUUUUAAAUCUGACCCACUGGUUACAUCAACACCAAUGCCCACCAGUAAGGCAUUCAGUUUUACUGUAGAAAGAGAAGAUGACAAAAUCGCAGUGGCACAGAAGAAGCUGUAUGGAGAACAACACAAUAAGCCACUUUAUCAGGUGACAUCAGAAAUACCUUCAAAUAUUGUGUGCGACCGGAAGACAUUUUUGCCCCAACCUACCACAAAGCAAAAUAUGCUCUCCAAGAAGGUGCCAUCGCUGCUGUCAAAGUUUAAGCCGGGAUCCUUACUUCCAAAACGUCAUAAUUUACCUACUUCUGGCCUGCCAAUGAAAACAAACACUGCUCAAAUCCUUCAGCAGACCACAGAAAUUACAUGCUCUUAUAAUUUGAGAUCCACAACAGCUGCUGCUUUAGCACAAAAGCAGCCUAUCUCUGGCCUGCAAAAACCAGCAGUAACCAGCAUACCUUCGGGCAUCCAUAGAGCAGGACAUGGCUUCAAACCACCGCAGGCAAAAAGCGUCUCUUCAGGCUC
ensembl:lncRNA